AUGGCACAGAUGUUGACUUCCUUUGUCAGAGGCUGCUUUUGCCAGGAAGUACAAAAGAUUGCAGGAGAUUCAAAAAUUGAGCCCAGAAACCUGAAAGCCAAAUUAGAUGUGUAGCAGCCUUGUGUCUUCUAGAUAUUUUGGAUGACAACUCUGAUCAACCCUGACCAUUGGCCAUGCUGGUUGGGGCUAGUGGGAGUCCAACAAAAUCUUGAGGGAACCAGCUUGGAGGAAAGAUGCUUCUAAAUCUGUCCCACGGAAAGGAGAAGAAAAAAUGCUUAGCAGCAGCAUGAUAUACACAGAUGAAAAUGUAUUCUUUCCCUGUCUUGCUACAAAGAUAAAUUAAUUAGCUUUGUAUCCACUACCAUGCCAUUGGUGACCUUCAGAGGUUAAUCCCACCAUACACACAA
rnacentral:lncRNA from 1 species